rnacentral:tRNA from 1 species
GCUGGCGUAGCUCAGCUGGUAGAGCAUCUGCCUUGUAAGCAGGAGGUCACGGGUUCGAGUCCCGUCGCCAGCU